rnacentral:rRNA from 1 species
GCAGCCGCCGCGGUAAUUCGAAGGGGGCUAGCGUUGCUCGGAUUUACUGGGCGUAAAGGGCGUGUAGGCGGCCUGGGGCGUCCCAUGUGAAAGGCCACGGCUCAACCGUGGAGGAGCGUGGGAUACGCUCAGGCUAGAGGGUGGGAGAGGGUGGUGGAAUUCCCGGAGUAGCGGUGAAAUGCGCAGAUACCGGGAGGAACGCCGAUGGCGAAGGCAGCCACCUGGUCCACUUCUGACGCUGAGGCGCGAAAGCGUGGGGAGCAAACCGGAUUAGAUACCCCGGUAGUCCCUGUCUCUUAUAC